AUUGAACGCUGGCGGCAUGCUUUACACAUGCAAGUCGAACGGUAACAGGCCUUCGGGUGCUGACGAGUGGCGAACGGGUGAGUAAUGCAUCGGAACGUACCCAGAGGUGGGGGAUAACGCAGCGAAAGCUGUGCUAAUACCGCAUGUGAUCUGAGGAUGAAAGCGGGGGACCGAGCAGCAAUGUUUGGCCUCGCGCCUUUGGAGCGGCCGAUGUCGGAUUAGCUAGUUGGUGGGGUAAAGGCCUACCAAGGCGACGAUCCGUAGCUGGUCUGAGAGGACGACCAGCCACACUGGGACUGAGACACGGCCCAGACUCCUACGGGAGGCAGCAGUGGGGAAUUUUGGACAGUGGGCGCAAGCCUGAUCCAGCAAUGCCGCGUGCGGGAAGAAGGCCUUCGGGUUGUAAACCGCUUUUGGCAGGAACGAAACGGUGUCCGCUAAUACCGGGCGCUAAUGACGGUACCUGCAGAAUAAGCACCGGCUAACUACGUG
rnacentral:rRNA from 1 species